rnacentral:lncRNA from 1 species
CAGCAAGAUGCAAAUAAACAAUCUUUACAUGUAGUUUUGUCUUUUAAAAAAAUCAGAUGUAUGGCAUGGUCUCACUUCAUUAAAAAUUUCUGGACUAAAAACUGUCUUGAUAAUAGUAAGGAAAUGACAAAUAAUAAAAGUUUUCAAGGACCGGCCCGGUGGUGCAGCGGUUGAGUGUGCACGUUCCAUUUCGGUGGCCCAGGGUUCGCUGGUUCGGAUCCCGGGUGCAGACAUGGUGCCGCUUGGCAAGUCAUGCUGUGGUAGGUGUCCCACAUGUACAGUAGGGGAAGGUGGGCACGGAUGUUAGCUCAGGGCCAGUCUUCCUCAGCAAAAAGAGGAGGGUUGGCGGCAGAUGUCAGCUCAGGGCUAAUCUUCCUCAAAAAAAAAAAAAGUUUUCAAUAGUCAAGAUCUGAAGCAGCAAAAACUAAAAUGACUUCCCUGUUUUGACUUUGACCAUAACUCUCAGUUCUGUCCACCUGAUGCUUUUCCCUUUCAGAAGAGAGGAAAGAAAAAUGGAGGGGAGGGAAAGAACAGAGUGGAGAGAAUGAAUAUUUCAGAUUGAUUUGUACACUCUCAAAACACAGGUCCUGGAGUAGAGUUAUCGUGUCUCACACGCCAGCAUCCUUUCCGCCAUCAGAGGAGAUCUACAGCUGCCUUCCCAACAUUCCCCUCAGUGCUUUUGGGGCGUGGACUGCUGAACCCCACCCCCGCACCCUGGGAUCUCAGAGUGGAGAAGUGAGUCAGGUCUGGACAGGCAGAGUGUAGUGUUGUGGACACACAGAUUGAGCCAGGAGGCAC